AAAAUAUUCAUUAUGUUUUUUGACUGAUGGUGGCAAACUGAUCCUGGAUGUGAUGCUUAACCCUUCUGGAGUUGAUGUUGUUUGAUAUCUUGCUUGGCCUCCUCCCCUCUUAGGCAAAAUUCCCCCUUUUUAAAAUUAUAUUAUUUUUAAUUGAUAUUAUUUAAUAGUUCUAGAGCAGUUUGUCAUCUUGAGGACAGUCUGGGCUCAAAGACUCGCCCAUGGUUUCUGAAAUUAUUUUCAGUGCAGCUAAAUAUCUGAUCCAGUCUUUAUAUUUGGAAUAAUACGGUAUUUGGGUUUAAAACUACCUGCCUUUUCCCAGUGGAAAAGCUUUUUUCUGGUUGGUUACUAGCAAAUGUCAUAUGUACUCUGCAAUAAGCCUGUUGCUGUCCAAAUUGAUGAGAAAACCCAAAAGAUUUAUUUCCCCCAAAGGUUCUUAGGCAGAAAACAGACUUGUGUUUUCCAAAACUUUAGGAGGACAAGAGCUCCUACCCUCUUAGUCUAAUCUGUUUUAUCUGCUGUGAGACACUGUGUAUAUUUAUAUACUGAGCAAUUGCAGGACAUCAGUUUCCAUUCUUAUCGAACACAAAUAUUUACCUGAUCCAAGGUCUGCUGAGAUCCAUGGCACUUUAAAAAAUGCAGAUUAACUAGAGAAAUCUAUUUUUUUUCCCAGUUUAAUUUUAGUUGGGUUUCAGGGUAUUUUCUUAGCAACUAAACUUUUUUUUUUAAUAAAGCAACAAACCGAUACAUUAUUGCUUUGCUUUACUCACUACCUCAGCUGUGCGGACUCCCUAAUAUGCUUUCUCAGCCGCAAUUCCUGUCAAUAAGGAAAAUGGGAAUUGUUUUGACAUUAAAUGUCAGUGAGGAAUUGAAACACAGAAGUCAAUUAGCAAUUAAUAUUAUUUAAAUUUAAUGGAAACAAUCCAUAUAAAAACAUCACAUGUGGUAUGACACACCAAUCACUGGAUUUCUGUUUAUCUCUGUGAGCAUCUUCAGGGGCAACGUGGUAUUUCAUGUAAGAGGGGACAAGAAGAGAGGUGGUGCAGGGAUCCAGAUAAAGGAAUUCAGUUGAUUUCAGUCAUCAGAGGGCUUCCAGUGCAAACUGAAGCAUGACCGAGGCCCACAGAUGAUCUCAGAGAGUCCAUGAGAAAGCUCUGGAAAUUAAAAGCAAGGGGUAUCCAAGUGUUUUCUCGUCAAGAAUCCUGUGGAGGAAUGGAGCAAAGGAGUGAAAGAAGGAAAGGAAGGAUCUCUAAUCCCAAAAAGAUGGACUAGGUCAGUGUUACCAGCAGAAGACAUGGAGUACCACUUUAGUAGCCUCAAGUGCACUUGAAUGCUCAAACUGUCUGUGCUGCCAUGUCCCAGCCCCUCUUUCCCCCAGAGGAGCAACAGAAAGAAAUGAAACAACUGCAGUUGAGGAGGGCAAGGAGUUCAGGAAGGCUCUAAUCUCCUGAACUUGCUGGUGGGGGGAUGAGGUGAGAAGAACUUGUUCUUAUUUGCUGAGACAUAGAAGCUUUGUCGUAAGCAAACUUCGUCAAAGUGCCUGAGCACUCCCGCUUGUGUUUCUGCUGACAUGGCUUGAUGGACUUUUGGGUGACCCCAGAUUUUAGGAGCCUGGAGAUCUUUCAGCUGCAGAAGGAUGACUCAAAGUGCAGUAACAUCUGGAAGUGGGCUGGUGAACUGCAAGGCUCAUGUUUAAAAAUAGGAUAAUUUUCUUCUGCAUUUCACAUUCCGUGCUGUUAAAAAGAUCUGGGAAAGUGGAAGACAGACCUGCCACUAUUACAGUGCUUUAGAAGCUUCAGAUUUACUCUGUCAGUUUCCACGGCCAAAGUGGAAAAUAUCUUAAAAUUUCCUGGUUCCUAAUUAUUAAAACAAUAUGAAACCAUCUUGCAGAGGUUGGAAGCUCGGACAGCCAGAAAGACACCUAUGAUCCUAACUUAAAAAGUUUAAAACUAGGUGGGAUCAAUCCAUGCUCCAUGUCUGUUUGCUCUGUGCCCCCUUAAUGAGUGGGGGUGACUUGCCUGUGCCUUUUGUCUGAUGUUUCUUGUUGUCCCCCACUGGCCAAGUUUUCAGCCAAGCCCUGAUUCUGGCUCUGCUUUGUCCCUGUGUCAUGAGUGAUGCUCCCUGCUUGGCAUGUGCCUUGUGCUUAUCUGAAUUGCCUGCAACCCUCUAACGCUCCUCAGCUUAUUACUGCCUCAUUAAUCAUUUGCAGGCAGUUUAUGCUCUCAUCCUGUUUUCCCGCUUUCAGUGUGUUUGCUAAAGAAAACGUGUUCCUAUGAAAUGCUUUGGACAGAGUUGUUUAUGGCAGGAAAUAGAUAUAAAAGAGCAGUUGUGUCAUUGCUGAGCAAAACCCUCUCAGCUGAACAUCCCGGAAGGAACUGGUGAUAACUGCUGUGAGUGUCUCCCUGAGCUGAGCUGUGGGUCAGGUUGUUGUGACUCUGGAGAAAAGGGACUUCAAGUAAUACACAACUUAAAAAUCA